rnacentral:rRNA from 1 species
UGGUGGAGUGAUUUGUCUUGUUAAUUCAGUUAACGAACGAGACCUCGCCCUGCUAACUAGUUCGACAAACCCUAUCUAGGGUUUGCGUCAAGCAAUUGACCCCGCUUGCGGGCGUGACUUCUUAGAGGGACAAUCGGUGUGUAGCCGAUGGAAGUUCGAGGCAAUAACA